CACCGCAUCCCGUCCGAUCUGCGAAGUUAAGCAAGGUAUCGCCUAGUCAGUACUGCGGUGGGGGACCACGCGGGAAUCCUAGGUGCUGCAGUUC
rnacentral:rRNA from 1 species